GCUGGCGGCAGGCUCAUACAUGCAAGUCGAACGAGAAAGCAACUUCGGUUGUGCGUAGAGUGGCGCACGGGUGAGUAACGCGUAGGGAUAUACCAAGCAGUGGGGGAUAACUAAUGGAAACGUUAGCUAAAACCGCAUACGCCCUUAGGGGGAAAUAUUUAUAGCUGUUUGAUUAGCCUGCGUUAGAUUAGCUAGUUGGUGAGGUAAAAGCUCACCAAGGCGACGAUCUAUAGCUGGUCUGAGAGGAUGAUC
rnacentral:rRNA from 1 species